rnacentral:rRNA from 1 species
GAUGAACGCUGGCGGCGUGCCUAAUACAUGCAAGUCGAGCGAACGGACGAGAAGCUUGCUUCUCUGAUGUUAGCGGCGGACGGGUGAGUAACACGUGGAUAACCUACCUAUAAGACUGGGAUAAUUUCGGGAAACCGGAGCUAAUACCGGAUGAUAUUUUGAACCGCAUGGUUCAAAAGUGAAAGACGGUCUUGCUGUCACUUAUAGAUGGAUCCGCGCUGCAUUAGCUAGUUGGUAAGGUAACGGCUUACCAAGGCAACGAUGCAUAGCCGACCUGAGAGGGUGAUCGGCCACACUGGAACUGAGACACGGUCCAGACUCCUACGGGAGGCAGCAGUAGGGAAUCUUCCGCAAAGGGCGAAAGCCUGACGGAGCAACGCCGCGUGAGUGAUGAAGGUCUUCGGAUCGUAAAACUCUGUUAUUAGGGAAGAACAUAUGUGUAAGUAACUGUGCACAUCUUGACGGUACCUAAUCAGAAAGCCACGGCUAACUACGUG